GCUAGAAGGUCAACAAACAAAAACCUAUAGAUUUGGGUUGUAAACUUGUAACUUGUAUUGUUGGUAAGGUUACUGUAUAUAGGCAUUUGCUAACUGAUACAUAUGUGAAACAUUUCCAGAUAUAUAAGAUGCCAAAAGAUAGAAAUAUAGUGCAUCCGUUUACUAAGAUUUCAGCUUCCAACAGAAGCUUAAUGAAUGAUCAACACAUUUCAUUUAGUGGCCUUCUAUAGAAACAUCCUACUGUCCUAACAAGAUGUGCUAUAGUUUGUUCAUUAGUUACUGCCAGUUUUGGACCUUCGGGAAAAAAAUAUUGAACCGGGGAUAAAAAGGGGAACUUUCAUUGCUGAAUUAUUGAUUGAAUACUUUGCUUCCAUUGGCUGUUGAUGAACCUUGCAUAUUGUUCCUUCCAAAAGCAUAUUUUUGGGAUUAGAUAGAUAAAACAUAUUCCUGUUUUGUUUGCGUUUUACUACAAGUGCAACAAGUUCUAGUAUUGCCAGGUUCAACGAGUUCUCUUUUUGGUUGAAUAUUGUGUGUAUCCUUUUUCAGCUCACUGUUUAAUUUCAUUUCUAGGUCCAUUAUAGUAUCUUCCUACAUAGCUGUAUAUCAUGAAGCAGAAUCUCGAGGAAUCUGAAACUUUAUAUACUUGUGUGCUAUUCUAAAUACAUGUUUUAUCUGGUGCAGGCACUUGAUAAAUCGCAGCUUGGAGCCCUUCUUCGUCAAAGAGGCGAAAAGCUUGAUUCACCAGGUCUGUAAUCAUAUACGUUGAGAGUAUCUAUGAUCUGUUAUUCAUAAUUAGCCUUUUUUACACCAAAUUUUAUUUUGCUUUACAUGAAGUGCUUGAAAAUGGGGAAAAUUGGAGUGUGGGACAACGAAAACUUGUUUCAUUGGGUCGUGCUUUGCUUAAGCAGGCAAGAAUACUUGUUCUUGAUGAAGCCACUGCUUCUGUUGAUACAGCGACAGAUAAUCUUAUCCAGACUCUAAUAAGGGCAGAGUUCAGGGACUGCACAGUUGUGAUGAUAACACACAGAAUACCAACAGUUAUGGAUAGUGAUUUUGUGUUGGUCCUCAGUGACGGCUUACACUCCAAGAAAUGCGCCUUAUACCGAUGAGGAAAUAGAUGUGGUUCGUGAGCAAUGGGCUAAGUUUUUUACAACCGAGUAUUUAUUUACUUAGGUUGUUUAGACACAAAGAUGGAAGCGUUUAUAUCUUCAUGGAUUUGCUUGUUUUGAGUACUGGAAGCGGUGUUAAUGGUUUCACUCUAGAUCCAUCUCCUUGGAGAGUAUAUUUUAACUCAUCCAGACAUCAAGGGAUCGAGUCGAUUGGAAGAAAUUCAACACUGCCUUAAUUAAGGUUUAUAAUGCAUGAUCUAAAGGGAGCUAAGUGGCCGGAUUAGAGAAAUUUGUUAGACUAGCUCUCUAGCCUUUUGUCUUUAUUUGUUAAUAUUAGUUGUAAUUUGUUAGACUAGCUAGGUGUUUAAAAUUGCAAACGUACGUACUAUACGCUUGGGUUACUAUAAAUGAAGUUAAUGUAAUGAUUUAUUUAUUAAAAAUAAGCAGAUUCAUACCUUUGCUA